GGGGGGUGUAUAUAUUUAUAGGGGGGGUGUGUAUAUUUAUAGGGGGUGUAUAUAUUUAUAGGGGGUGUAUAUAUUUAUAGGGGGGGUGUGUAUAUUUAUAGGGGGUGUAUAUAUUUAUAGGGGGUGUAUAUAUUUAUAGGGGGGGUGUAUAUAUUUAUAGAAUGUUAUAUUUCAGUCAGGCUGCUCUCACCCCCCGGUGUCUCUGUCUCGGUGUCUCUCCCUCUCCCGGUGUCUCGGUUCUCCCCCCGGUGUGUCUCUCUCUCUCUCUCUCUCUCUCUCUCUCGGGUGCGGCCUCCCAGCUCUCCCCGGCUUCCUGUUUCCGCCCCUCACUCAGUACGGCUGCCGGGGAGGGUCAAACUGCGCAGAGAGCGCAACUACGGAGUCCGGGAGGGGCACGCGGC